rnacentral:rRNA from 1 species
GCCAGACUCCUACGGGAGGCAGCAGUGGGGAAUAUUGCACAAUGGGGGAAACCCUGAUGCAGCGACGCCGCGUGAGUGAAGAAGUAUUUCGGUAUGUAAAGCUCUAUCAGCAGGGAAGAUAAUGACGGUACCUGACUAAGAAGCCCCGGCUAACUACGUGCCAGCAGCCGCGGUAAUACGUAGGGGGCAAGCGUUAUCCGGAUUUACUGGGUGUAAAGGGUGCGCAGGUGGCAGGGCAAGUCAGAUGUGAAAGCCCGGGGCUCAACCCCGGUAUUGCAUUUGAAACUGUCCGGCUAGAGUGCAGGAGAGGUAAGCGGAAUUCCUAGUGUAGCGGUGAAAUGCGUAGAUAUUAGGAGGAACACCAGUGGCGAAGGCGGCUUACUGGACUGUAACUGACACUGAGGCACGAAAGCGUGGGGAGCAAACAGGAUUAGAUACCCCCGUAUC